rnacentral:rRNA from 1 species
AACGAACGCUGGCGGCAGGCCUAACACAUGCAAGUCGAGCGAGGACUUCGGUCCUAGCGGCGGACGGGUGAGUAACGCGUGGGAACGUGCCCUUUGCUUCGGAAUAGCCCUGGGAAACUGGGAGUAAUACCGGAUGAGCCCUUUGGGGGAAAGAUUUAUCGGCGAAGGAUCGGCCCGCGUUGGAUUAGGUAGUUGGUGGGGUAAUGGCCUACCAAGCCGACGAUCCAUAGCUGGUUUGAGAGGAUGAUCAGCCACACUGGGACUGAGACACGGCCCAGACUCCUACGGGAGGCAGCAGUGGGGAAUCUUAGACAAUGGGGGAAACCCUGAUCUAGCCAUGCCGCGUGAGCGAUGAAGGCCUUAGGGUUGUAAAGCUCUUUCAGCUGGGAAGAUAAUGACGGUACCAGCAGAAGAAGCCCGGCUAACUCCGUG